GUAAGGAAUAUUGGACAAUGGACGCAAGUCUGAUCCAGCCAUGCCGCGUGAAGGAUUAAGGUCCUCUGGAUUGUAAACUUCUUUUAUAAGGGACGAAAAAAGGCUUUUCUAAGUCGUCUGACGGUACCUUAUGAAUAAGCACCGGCUAACUCCGUGCCAGCAGCCGCGGUAAUACGGAGGGUGCAAGCGUUAUCCGGAUUCACUGGGUUUAAAGGGUGCGUAGGCGGGCAGGUAAGUCAGUGGUGAAAUCCUAGAGCUUAACUCUAGAACUGCCAUUGAUACUAUCUGUCUGGAAUAUUGUGGAGGUAAGCGGAAUAUGUCAUGUAGCGGUGAAAUGCUUAGAUAUGACAUAGAACACCUAUUGCGAAGGCAGCUUACUACGCAUAUAUUGACGCUGAGGCACGAAAGCGUGGGGAUCAAACAGGAUUAGAUACCCGAGUAGUCC
rnacentral:rRNA from 1 species